rnacentral:lncRNA from 1 species
UUCAUUCCUUUUUGCUACUGACGAGUAUUCUAUCAUACAGAGUACUACAUUUUGCUUAUUCAUUCAUUGGUUAAAGGGCAUCCUAUGCCACUCUGCGUGGCUUAUAAGACCAGGGGUAGGACCCUUGCUACUAGCCCUUUUGGAAAUAAGAUCUGAGAAAGAGUCAAGAAAUCUUCUGCUGGUAGCUAGAUGUGUAUCAUAAAAUCAGGAGAUGUUGUAAGGCUAUGUUUUUAUGUGGAUUAGAUGAAAAUAAAAGGUGGUUCUGCUGUGAAAGAAAGUGAAUGAGGUUUUCAGCAGGAACAGAGGAAACACAUGGAAAGAGAUUGCAACUGUUCUUCUGGUUUGUGAUUCCAAAUCCCUCUGGAAAUCCUUAGUUUACCUGAGGAAUGCAUGAAUCCUCAGAAUAGAAUUCCACUUUUUUUUGUUAAGUUAGUGUGGUAGGCAAAGAAAUGACUUUCAAAGUUUUCUAUGCUAUAGCCCCUGAAUCUAUAAAUGUAUUAUGUUGCAUUCCAAAAGGGAUUAUGCAGAUGUGAUUAAGGGUGUGAAUUUUAAGUUGGGGAGAUCAUCCUGGUUUAUCCGGGUUUAUUAAAUCUAAUUAUGUAAGUCAUUACAAACAAAUAAUCCUUUAGAACCUUUAAAGAACAUUUGGUUAAAGAAAGUUGCAAUUAAAAAUGAAGAAGUAAAGAUGAAAUGUAAGGACGUGAGAUGCUAUUGGAGGCUCUGCACAUAGAAGAAGGGAGCCGUGAGCCAAGAAUGGUGGGUAGCCUAUAGAAUCUGUAAAAGAUAAAUAACAGAUUGUCCUAAAGCCUCUAGAAACACACCUACUUACAUUUUGAUUUUAGCCCAUUAUGACCCAUGCCAGAUUUCUUACAUGCAAAACUGUAAGAAAGUAAAUUUGGAUUAAGCUGCUACAUUAGCGGCAAUUUGUCACAACAGCAACAGAACACUAAUACUGUUGUCUUCCACUUAUUUCUUCUAUGUGAAAGAAGUCAACAGAAAAGUUAUUUAAUGUAGGCUCCAGGAGCUAAAAUAUCCUCUCUGCAGUGAAGAGACUACUUGCUUUGGAAGGCAAUUCGCUGGUCAGUGCUGAUAUGACAGGCAGAUUUCCUAAAAUAGCUCACCAGAGAUGUUCCACUUUAACCCCCAUACUUGGGAAUAUCAUAAACUCUCACUUCGGUGAUUGUGUUAUAUUACAUGGCACAAUGGAUUUAAGUUAGGGAGAUUAUCUGGUUGGGCCUUAUGUGUCCUUAAAAGCAGAGAGUGCUCUGUGGAUGGUGGCAGGAGAAACCAGAUAAAUUUAUAAUCUGAGGUAGAUGUGACACACCAUUUCUGGUUUGAGGUGAAAAGGGAAAGGGGUGGUCUCUCUCAGCAGGGAGGGGCCCUGACUUGAGAUUCAGCAAGGAAAUGUUAAUUUUCCACCUAUAGUCACAAAAUGCUAGGUUCUUUCCUCAAACCCAAGAGCCCACCUUGGCAGACCUCUUGACUUUGGCCUUGUGAGACAUUAAUCAGAGAAGAGAGAACUCAGCUGAGAUCGCCUGGAUGAAGAAAUGUGACAUAAUAUAUGUGUGCUGCUUUAAUUCACUAAGUUUCUGGUAAUUUAUGAUCUAGCCUUAAAAAACUCAUAUAGAUGGUUAUAAGGUUGGUCCUUUAAAACUAACAUCUACCUAGCCUUCUCAGUUUUGAUUAUGGCUUUUCUACUUAUUAAUUGUAGAAAUCAAUAAGGCUAUUUAUAAAUGUUUAUUCUUCAAAUGACCAGAGUAUUACAGCAUUUCCCUACACACUCAGAAAUUACACGUGCUGAUCAUCGAAGAACAUGUUGAGAUUGUACUUCCAUUUUUCUGGUCCCCUAAGUAGACUUUCCCUAUGUUUCUUUACUGAUCAUAAAGGACAUAUAACAUGAGUAGGAAAUGCGCUUUUAAAAUAUUAAUCUAUUGACAUUUUGAUGAAUGUUGUUACUAAACAAAAAUCUAGUCCUUCCUUGCUAAACACCACAUACGUAACAUUGGGCAAGUCCCUAAUUAUCUAUUCCUUUGUUGGUGUUUUGUCUCUUCCUCUUUCCUCAUCUUCUUUACUAUCAUUAUUAUCAACAAUUUUAUAGAAAGGAUAAUACUUACAGAAGUCAUCUUUUAUGAGCACUUACUAUGUACACAGUUUAAAAGCCCUUAAAAUAUGCUACAUGCAUCUAGCAUAGUAGUAAACAUAGAUUCGAGACUGAUUUGCUCUGGUCAAUAAUUUUGGUAUUCUGACUAAAAGCUCUUCCUUCUGAGCCUCAGUUUUUCCAUUGGUCAAAUUGAGAUAACAGCAUUUGCUUCACAGGUUUGGGUGAGGGAAAAAUAUAAACCAACACAUGUUAAAUGCUUAGAACACUGCCUGAUAAAUAAUAAUCCCCCCCCAAAGUUACUAUUUAUAUGGUCUGAUAUAAUUUUUACAAGAGCUCCAUAUGGUAGGUAUUAUUAUUCCCACUUUGCAGACAUGGUCACUGAAACAAAUAAUUUAAUCAUUUUGCCCACAUGACUUCAAAGUCCACACUCAUAGCCAUUUUCUCAUUGGUUCUGUAUGCUUCUGCCCUUAAGAUUUAAUCAAUUCCUUCCUCUUCUAGAAGACUCUCAUGCUUCCACUAAGUUAUGUCUUUACAUCACAAUGAAAUAUCCUGAGUUCUUUAACUAUUAUUUGCUCAGCCUUAGAACAACCGUCUCCCCCUUUUGUCAAUUCUUAAUAAAAAUCUGGGUUCUCUACAAGCAUAAUUAUUAAGUAUACCUAGAUAGGCUCUGGACUAUAUGUUUUAUUAACAGUAUAGGAGAGUAUAAAACUACCACUUUUUUUCUCUCCAAAAAUAGGAAAUAUAUACAGGCUUGUUAAAAUAAUUUAAAAGGUUUGAUGAAGAGAGAUCAGGAACCCUGAGUUCACUCACUGGCUUAUAUGACCAUGGACAAGCAAAUUUACUUCUCUGGGCCUCAGUGUCCUCAUUCACCAAAACAGAGGGUUCAAUUAAUGAGAUAUAUUUCAAAUCCUCUGAGACAAUAAGUCAUAUGCUUACUGAAAGCCUCACUUUAGCUCAUGUGUAGAGGUGGCUCCUGAGAAUCUAAUUGGGAAAGAUGCUCAAUUUUGUGCUAUGCUGGAAUCAAUGCACCAGAAGGAGGAAGGCAUGUAAACAAGGACCUAUUGUGCUGAUUUUUCCUAACAAAAUAUCCCAAAGUGUGAGAAUUCAGAGGAUUGAGCUCUGUUGGCAAUCAAUAAAACAUGAAUGUGUCUUUUCAAACGAAUUUUCCUCAUCCCCUUCAGCUUCCCUGUAAUGAGGAGAUAAUGAGCUAUAGACAUAGCCAGGGAUGCCUGGGAGCUUCUUCUAACAUCCACUUUGUUAGAAGAACUUUUGCAGCUGAAAGGCAAAACAUUUUCAAGGGAUAUUCUGCCAGCUGUGUCACACCCUGAGCUUAAUGUCAUGCUAUUUUCUCAAGAAUUUGAGGGUACCUACAGGGGUCCCUCUAAUGGGCACUACUUAGUUAUUGUUGAGGAUAAUAAGUUUUGUUGUCACUUCAUUGAUUGCUUAUUCUUUUUAAUCGGAUCAUGAGAAAAUAUUUACUAGAGAGUCAAAGGACUCAAAUUUAUAAACUAAAGCCCCUGAGGUCACUAUUUUAUCUCAGGUAUAUCCUUGAUGUUAUUUAUUUUUACUGCCUCUCACUGUCUUUUGUGACACAACCUUCCCUCCCUUUUCCUUAGUAUUUCCAAUAAGCGCUGUAUCUUAUUUUCCAGGAACACAUUUUCCAGGUACAGAGCAUUUUAUAUACCCAGAUAUGGUUAAGAAAUGUCCUCAGCUCCCUGCCUAUCUUAAACCUAUAAGUCUAGAGCGGCAAAAAUUUUUUUACCUAUUUUCUCAUAACUAAUCAAUAUGCUGUUUGAAAAAAAAAAUAAUAACGAUGAGAACGUCAAAGCAGCCAUAGAUCUCAGACGGAAAUGGGGCUGUGUAUAGUUAGUGAUGACUUCCAUUGUUCCAAGAAGAUCUGUUGUGUUCAAUAUUCGAUAUCGCUAUUAUUGAAAGAAUUUUCUUAAGUACAACAAGGAGGGGGAUGGGUGACUGGUUUGGAUAUGAAAACAAUACAUAGGAGGGAAAACAAAGGCUGAAGAUAAGGUAAAGUGCAUAUCUGUCAUGGUUUUCUGCAGAAGUAGAUGGACCCCCACACACACACUCAAAAUUUAGUUUUUAGAUCAAGAUCAAGGACAUCUCUCUCUCUCUCUCUCUCUCACACACACACACACACACACACACACACACACACACACACACGCACACUCCAAGAAGGUAUGGGAACUCUUAUUACUUACUUAUAAUUGAGCUCUCUGGGGAGAGUAGGUCAGGACUCUCAAAUAGGUCUAAAAAUGGUCUGAAACAGCAAAGAAAGGACUCUAGUUUUGGUUUUUACUGUUGUUAGCGGGUGACGCUAGUGAGAAUUUCCAAAGAACAAGUGCAUGGAUGGUUUGAAUUUUGUGACAGAGUCCAAAGGGAAAGCACCCAGGCUUUUAAAAUCAGAUUUUCCAGGAACAGAGCAUAAGGGUCAAAAGUAGAGGUGAGUCUAAAAACUGUCAGGCGUCUCUGCUGCAGCACAGUGGGUUAAGAAUCUGAUUGCAGUGGCUCAGGUUGCUGUGGUGGUGUUGGUUCGAUCCCCAGCCUGGCAUAGCAGGUUAAAGGAUCCAGCAUUGCCAGCCACAACUGCAGCAUAGGUUGCAACUGUGGCUCAGGUUCAAUCCCUGGCCUGGGAACUUCCAUAUGUUGCAGGUGCAGCCAUUAAAAAC